rnacentral:rRNA from 1 species
GACGAACGCUGGCGGCGUGCUUAACACAUGCAAGUCGAACGAUGAAGCCUAGCUUGCUAGGUGGAUUAGUGGCGAACGGGUGAGUAAUACGUGAGUAACCUACCUUUAACUCUGGGAUAAGCCCGGGAAACUGGGUCUAAUACCGGAUACGACCAAUCUCCGCAUGGGGUGUUGGUGGAAAGCGUUAUGUAGUGGUUAUAGAUGGGCUCACGGCCUAUCAGCUUGUUGGUGAGGUAACGGCUCACCAAGGCGACGACGGGUAGCCGGCCUGAGAGGGUGACCGGCCACACUGGGACUGAGACACGGCCCAGACUCCUACGGGAGGCAGCAGUAGGGAAUCUUCGGCAAUGGGGGCAACCCUGACCGAGCAACGCCGCGUGAGUGAAGAAGGUUUUCGGAUCGUAAAGCUCUGUUGUAAGAGAAGAACGAGUGUGAGAGUGGAAAGUUCACACUGUGACGGUAUCUUACCAGAAAGGGACGGCUAGCUACGUGCCAGCAGCCGCGGUAAUACGUAGGUCCCGAGCGUUAUCCGGAUUUAUUGGGCGUAAAGCGAGCGCAGGCGGUUAGAUAAGUCUGAAGUUAAAGGCUGUGGCUUAACCAUAGUACGCUUUGGAAACUGUUUAACUUGAGUGCAAGAGGGGAGAGUGGAAUUCCAUGUGUAGCGGUGAAAUGCGUAGAUAUAUGGAGGAACACCGGUGGCGAAAGCGGCUCUCUGGCUUGCAACUGACGCUGAGGCUCGAAAGCGUGGGGAGCAAACAGG